UAAACUAGGAUUAGAUACCCUAUUAUUUUAAAUGUUAAUUUAAAAUACUAAAUUAUUAAUAGUUAUGUUCUUUAAAAUUAAAAAAUUUGGCGGUAUUUUAGUCUUUUCAGAGGAACCUGUCCUGUAAUCGAUAAUCCACGAUUAUACAUAUUUUAUUUAUUAAUUUACAUAUCGUCGUAGUUUGAAUAUUUUAUUAGAAAUUUAAUAUUCAAGAUUUUUAAUUAAAAAAUAAAUCAGAUCAAGGUGUAGUUUAUAAUGAAAUAGAGAUGGGUUACAUUAAAUUUAUUUAAGGAUAAUUUUUUUUAAAAAAAUUUGAAUUUGGAUUUGAAAGUAAUUUUAUGAAUAUACUUUAAAUGAUUAUAGCUCUAAAAUAUGCACACAUCGCCCGUCGCUCUUAA
rnacentral:rRNA from 1 species